rnacentral:rRNA from 1 species
UACGAAGGGGGCUAGCGUUGCUCGGAAUCACUGGGCGUAAAGGGCGCGUAGGCGGCCUACUAAGUCAGACGUGAAAUCCCCCGGCUUAACCUGGGAACUGCGUCCGAUACUGGAUGGCUUGGAUUUGGGAGAGGGAUGCGGAAUUCCAGGUGUAGCGGUGAAAUGCGUAGAUAUCUGGAGGAACACCGGUGGCGAAGGCGGCAUCCUGGACCAAUAUUGACGCUGAGGAGCGAAAGCCAGGGGAGCAAAGCGGG